UUGAGUAACAUUUUUUGUAGCACUUUAAUAUUAGAUAAUACUUUAUUGUAACACUUUAAUAUUAGGUAUCACUUGGUUGUAAUACUUAAUUUUUAUUUUUUUUUUUUUGGAAGGAAAACACUUAUUUUGAUACUUCGUAUUCUUUUUUUCCUUGUCAAUUAUUUUUACUGUAUCAAAAUCGACCCUCAUAGCCUCACAAGUCACAACUUUUUUCUCCCUUGUAUUUCUCCAUCCCUCAAGCUUUCACCGUCUCUUUACGCUGCAUCUCCUAUCCUCGGCUUCCACCGCCACCACCUUCUCGCUUCCGGUGCUCCACUAUAGUCCACGUCCACUAUAGACUCCCUCCAUUCCAACCUGUGCUCCAACUCAAAGACAUACACAACAGCCCGUGCUCCAAGUUGAAGAGACGACAAUUGCCACCUACUGGCCUUCAUCCUCGGCGGCUUCCACCUAAAGUUUGGGUGGUUAGUCAGGUGCUCAGGUGCUCUUUAUGUGCUCAGGUGCUUGAAUCUACAGUAAAGUCUCAGAUAGGUGAUGGCGAUCAGACAACGUGAACUAUGUGCUGCAUUGGGAACGAUGGGCGGUGAUCUCCUAGUUUAAUUUAGUAAACAUAGUAUUAGUGUUGUUACAUCUUUGGAAGUAUUUCAAAACUAUUACUAUUACUAUUAUUAUUACUAAUAAAAGAUAAUUAUUGUUUUCCGCUGCAAAA